rnacentral:tRNA from 1 species
GAGGCUAUAGCCCAGUGAUAGAGCACAUGCUUAGCAUGCACAAGGUCCUGGGUUUAAUCCCCAGUACUUCCA